GUUUAAACGCCCCCGGGGGCGAUGCAUUUUACGAAACAUUUGAUCCAAACAAUGUCAGUAACUCGUAUAAACGCCCCCCUAUUCAUCCCAAUUCAUGCACUGACAUAACCCGAUACGUAAUCGUACUGGGAAUCUGUGUAAAGUCGCGCGCUGAGUGACAUCAUCCGAGUUAAAUUCGAUCAAUACUGUAGCGUUUAUAGCGUGGCAUAUUCAGUACUUACACACAGUAGAUUUAUUUGUGCCAUGCCUGUUGACGUGUUUAAAAGUUUGUGUUAAUAAAUGUGUGUUUUUUUUAAAUUCAUUUGUAUUGUUAUGGAAUUGUUAUUAUCUGGAUAUUAUUGUGUUGGAUCUAGGACCAAUUUUUGAAGAACAAGUUAGGACGUCACGAGCGAGUAUUGCGGCCAAAACACAUACACUGAAGAAAUGCGUGCAAAAGAUGGACCACAACAUAAUUUGUGAAGACUUUAUUUCUGAUACAGAGGAGAGCGUUAGCCAAUGGCCAGCAGGUCCUUAUGUUGUACCGAUGACACGACAUGGAUGUCCAGAAUCCUCUAAUCAUGGGUGGCGGCAAGGUUUCCUUUCGAUUCAGUGGAAAACAGCCCAGUCUGUGCAUGUGCUCACUAGAAAUGUAGCUAAGGAAGCAACUACAAAGUUUGUUAACGUAACGGAAGAACAUGUUUUUAGUACGCCAGAGAGGCACCUAUUUUUUCCUGCCACUCCAAACUAUCUGAAAUUAGGUUUUUGUUAUAAACUCAGAAGCAACAUUUCAGAUAUUGGCCCCUGGCCAGACUUGAACUUCAGUAUUUACGGCACAGAUAAUGGUUGUCCACCAGGUAACUGUUUCUAAUA